rnacentral:rRNA from 1 species
CGAACGCCGGCCGGGCUUGCCCUAAUACAUGGAAAUUCCGGGCGAACAGAAGCAAGGAGCUUGCUCCUUCGACGUUAGCGGCGGACGGGUGAGUAACACGUGGGCAACCUACCUUAUAGUUUGGGAUAACUCCGGGAAACCGGGGCUAAUACCGAAUAAUCUGUUUCACCUCAUGGUGAAACACUGAAAGACGGUUUCGGCUGUCGCUAUAGGAUGGGCCCGCGGCGCAUUAGCUAGUUGGUGAGGUAACGGCUCACCAAGGCGACGAUGCGUAGCCGACCUGAGAGGGUGAUCGGCCACACUGGGACUGAGACACGGCCCAGACUCCUACGGGAGGCAGCAGUAGGGAAUCUUCCACAAUGGGCGAAAGCCUGAUGGAGCAACGCCGCGUGAGUGAAGAAGGAUUUCGGUUCGUAAAACUCUGUUGUAAGGGAAGAACAAGUACAGUAGUAACUGGCUGUACCUUGACGGUACCUUAUUAGAAAGCCACGGCUAACUACGUGCCAGCAGCCGCGGUAAUACGUAGGUGGCAAGCGUUGUCCGGAAUUAUUGGGCGUAAAGCGCGCGCAGGUGGUUUCUUAAGUCUGAUGUGAAAGCCCACGGCUCAACCGUGGAGGGUCAUUGGAAACUGGGAGACUUGAGUGCAGAAGAGGAUAGUGGACUUCCAAGUGUAGCGGUGAAAUGCGUAGAGAUUUGGAGGAACACCAGUGGCGAAGGCGACUAUCUG